rnacentral:rRNA from 1 species
GACGUAGGGUCCAAGCGUUGUCCGGAUUUACUGGGCGUAAAGAGCGCGUAGGCGGUCUGUUAAGUGAGAAGUGAAAUCUCCAGGGCUCAACCCGGAAACUGCUUUUCAUACUGGCAGACUUGAGGGAUGCAGAGGUGAAUGGAAUUCCUGGUGUAGCGGUGAAAUGCGUUGAUAUCAGGAGGAACACCCAUGGCGAAGGCGGAACUCUGGGCCGGAACUGACGCUGAGGAGCGAAAGCGUGGGGAGCGAACAGG